UUUUGUUUGCUUUUAACAGUAUAGUGUAGUCUUCAAUUUGAUAUUUAGUUAUGCCCAGCUUUCUUUAAAAGUCGACCCCAACUGAUAAUGAAACCAUGGUUCAUGGCCUUGAGUAGUUAACUAGGGUCAAUUCUGACCAAAUGGAUGGGCACCAGGGUAGAAAACAUUUAGGCCAGUAACUAAGAAGGAAGGACAGGGGUAAGAUGGGUAUUUGGGAAUAAGAAUCUAGUAACAAACCCCUGGAACCUUCUAGUGGAGGUUCGAAAUGCAAUUUCUGUUAAUUCUUUCUCAAAAAUUGAGGCACAAGUUAAAAAACAAGGGAUCAAUUAAGCAAAUCUGGAAAAUGGGAAGGGACUAAUAAGAAAACAAGAAGAAAAAUAUUGCCCUAAGUCCUUGGCUAUAAAAGGGUAUCUUAUCGUAUGAGAGGAAGGGGGAGAUAUAGAGUUUUAAGAGAAGAGGUCGAGAACACCAUCUGAAAACAAAUUCCCUAAAAAUCCUAAGCUUUGCUGGCAAAAAAUCUUCUAAAAAUAAUCAAAAUUCUGUUCAUUAGAAGGUGAAGAUGACUUGAAGCAUAUGCAUUUAAGGUGUUAGAGUUUUUCAGGAGCUACUUCAGGCAUUGAUCUUAGGCUGGUUUGCUUUGUUCAAGCUUAGGAUCGAAACUUGUGUUGUUGGCUUUUUCAAAACCUUCCUGAGUUCAUGAUACCACUCAUGGGCUUAACUUGUUGACUUGCUGUUAUUUGUUGCUUCUCG
rnacentral:lncRNA from 1 species